AUCCGGUUGACGAGUCUCAAAUAGGACGAAACUGGCGUCCUAGAU
rnacentral:hammerhead_ribozyme from 1 species